rnacentral:rRNA from 1 species
UGGGGAAUUUUGGACAAUGGGGGAAACCCUGAUCCAGCCAUCCCGCGUGUGCGAUGAAGGCCUUCGGGUUGUAAAGCACUUUUGGCAGGAAAGAAACAUCAUGGGUUAAUACCCCGUGAAACUGACGGUACCUGCAGAAUAAGCACCGGCUAACUACGUGCCAGCAGCCGCGGUAAUACGUAGGGUGCAAGCGUUAAUCGGAAUUACUGGGCGUAAAGCGUGCGCAGGCGGUUCGGAAAGAAAGAUGUGAAAUCCCAGAGCUCAACUUUGGAACUGCAUUUUUAACUACCGGGCUAGAGUGUGUCAGAGGGAGGUGGAAUUCCGCGUGUAGCAGUGAAAUGCGUAGAUAUGCGGAGGAACACCGAUGGCGAAGGCAGCCUCCUGGGAUAACACUGACGAUCAUGCACGAAAGCGUGGGGAGCAAACAGG